rnacentral:rRNA from 1 species
CCCUUAGAGUUUGAUCCUGGCUCAGGACGAACGCUGGCGGCGCGCCUAACACAUGCAAGUCGAACGAGCGAGAGGAGGUUUACUUUCUCAAGCGAGUGGCGAACGGGUGAGUAACGCGUGAGGAACCUGCCUCAAAGAGGGGGACAACAGUUGGAAACGACUGCUAAUACCGCAUAAGCCCACGACCCGGCAUCGGGUAGAGGGAAAAGGAGCAAUCCGCUUUGAGAUGGCCUCGCGUCCGAUUAGCUAGUUGGUGAGGUAAUGGCCCACCAAGGCGACGAUCGGUAGCCGGACUGAGAGGUUGAACGGCCACAUUGGGACUGAGACACGGCCCAGACUCCUACGGGAGGCAGCAGUGGGGAAUAUUGCACAAUGGGGGAAACCCUGAUGCAGCGACGCCGCGCGGAGGAAGAAGGUCUUCGGAUUGUAAACUCCUGUUGUUGAGGA